rnacentral:rRNA from 1 species
UACGUAGGGUGCAAGCGUUAAUCGGAAUUACUGGGCGUAAAGCGUGCGCAGGCGGUUUUGUAAGUCAGAUGUGAAAUCCCCCGGGCUUAACCUGGGAACUGCGUUUGAAACUACAAGGCUAGAGUGUGGCAGAGGGGGGUGGAAUUCCACGUGUAGCAGUGAAAUGCGUAGAGAUGUGGAGGAACACCGAUGGCGAAGGCAGCCCCCUGGGUUAACACUGACGCUCAGGCACGAAAGCGUGGGGAGCAAACAGGG